CCUACGGGUGGCAGCAGUGAGGAAUAUUGGUCAAUGGCCGGAAGGCUGAACCAGCCAUGCCGCGUGAAGGUCAGUGCCCUUUGGGCGUUAAACUUCUUUUGUGCGGGAGCAAUAAUGGUCACGUGUGGCCCGACGAGAGUACCGUACGAAUAAGCAUCGGCUAACUCCGUGCCAGCAGCCGCGGUAAUACGGGGGAUGCAAGCGUUAUCCGGAUUUAUUGGGUUUAAAGGGUGCGUAGGCUGUGAGGUAAGUCAGCGGUGAAAUGCCCCCGCUCAACGGGGUGAAGGGCCGUUGAUACUGGCUUGCUUGAGUGCGGAUGAGGUGGGAGGAAUGUGUGGUGUAGCGGUGAAAUGCAUAGAUAUCACGCAGAACACCGAUUGCGAAGGCAUCUCACGAAUCCGCGAUUGACGCUGAUGCACGAAAGCGUGGGUAUCAAACAGGAUUAGAUACCCGGGUAGUC
rnacentral:rRNA from 1 species